rnacentral:rRNA from 1 species
GGGGGGGACUGUCGCUGGCUCCGGAGCGAUCCGGAGCAUGUGCACGUCUCUUUUCUUACAACACACCCCUGUGCACACAUUGUAGGCCCUCGAGAGAGGGACUAUGUUUUUCCACAUCGCACACAUCUUUAUGUAUGUAACAUUGUAUGGCCAUAGAAGGUAUCUAGACUGUCGCUCGACCUCCGGGUCGGGUCAUGGUCUAACGAAUAUUACAACUUUCAGCAACGGAUCUCUUGGCUCUCGCAUCGAUGAAGAACGCAGCGAAUUGCGAUAAGUAAUGUGAAUUGCAGAUUUUCAGUGAAUCAUCGAAUCUUUGAACGCACCUUGCGCUCCUCGGUAUUCCGAGGAGCAUGCCUGUUUGAGUGUUAUUUAAUUCUCAACCAUGUCCUUGUAACGAGGCUUGGCUUGGACUUGGGGGUUGCUGGUGGCAAUGGCCGUCGGCUCUCCUGAAAUGCAUUAGCAAAGGGCAGCAAGUCUGUGGCGUGGCACGGCCUUUUCGACGUGAUAAUGAUCGUCGUGGGCUGGAAGCGCCGGACAUGCAUCGAUUGUCUUGUUUGCUUCCAAAUCACCUUCGAUUGGACUCGGAACUCGACCCGGGGUUGGCUUAGCUAUUAGUUGGUCGUGAGGCCGACGAACGCGGUCGACUUUGGCAAAGGUUGGGUUGGCUUAGCUAUUAGUCGGUCGUGAGGCCGACGAACGCAGGCCGACUUGGCUUCGAGCAUUCGUGGUCUGGCUAUCGAAACUACCG